CUAUCAGCGGCAAGGUUAAGUCGUAAGACGAAGCCGUAGCGAAAGCGAGUCCGAAAUGGGCGUACAGUCGCUGGGAGUAGACCCGAAACCCGGUGAUCUACCCAUGUCCAGGAUGAAACGAGGGUAAAACCUCGUGGAGGUCCGAACUCACUACAGUUGAAAAUGUAGGGGAUGAGGUGUGGGUCGGAGUGAAAGGCUAAUCAAACCGGGAGAUAGCUGGUUCUCGCCGAAAGAUAUUUAGGUAUCGCCUCGGAAAACUCUGUCGAGGAGGUAGAGCACUGGAUGGGCUAGGGGUCUUACCAGAUUACCAAACCCAACCAAACUCCUAAUGCCUCGACAUUUACUCCGGGAGUCAGGCUGUGGGAGCUAAGUUCCAUGGCCAAAAGGGAAGAGCCCAGACCGCCAGCUAAGGUCCCUAAGUCGUUGCUAAGUGGUAAAGGAUGUGGAAGCACACAGACAACCAGUAGGUUGGCUUAGAAGCAGCCAUCCUUUAAAGAAAGCGUAAUAGCUCACUGGUCAAGUGAGUCCGCGCCG
rnacentral:rRNA from 1 species